rnacentral:rRNA from 1 species
ACUCCUACGGGAGGCAGCAGUGGGGAAUAUUGCACAAUGGGCGCAAGCCUGAUGCAGCCAUGCCGCGUGUGUGAAGAAGGCCUUCGGUUGUAAUGCAACUUUCAGUCGUGAGGAAGGUAGUGUAGUUAAUAGCUGCAUUAUUUGACGUUAGCGACAGAAGAAGCACCGGCUAACUCCGUGCCAGCAGCCGCGGUAAUACGGAGGGUGCGAGCGUUAAUCGGAAUUACUGGGCGUAAAGCGCAUGCAGGUGGUUUGUUAAGUCAGAUGUG